AGUCAUGCAUGUCUACGGGACAUAUCUUAAUUUUCUAAAAAAAAAAAAGGUCAUCGAAAACUUGAUUUAUGUCAUCGAACAUAACAAAAAUCUGCUAUAUUUGACGUCAAAAUUAAUUUUUAUUUUACUCUUCACCAGAAGAUAUUCUGAAGAUGUGCAGAAGAGACCAAUAAAACACGCCCCAGACGAAAACCUCAGUUUCCAUUUUGCACUAUUAACGUCUGUUUGGUAAAACAAAAAUAAUUUAG
rnacentral:lncRNA from 1 species